UACGGAGGGUGCAAGCGUUAAUCGGAAUUACUGGGCGUAAAGCGUGCGUAGGUGGUUCGUUAAGUCCGUUGUGAAAGCCCCGAGCUCAACUUGGGAAUUGCAGUGGAUACUGGCGAGCUGGAGUGCGGUAGAGGAAGGUGGAAUUCCCGGUGUAGCGGUGAAAUGCGUAGAGAUCGGGAGGAACACCAGUGGCGAAGGCGGCCUUCUGGACCAGCACUGACACUCAAGCACGAAAGCGUGGGGAGCAAACAGGAUUAGAUACCCUGGUAGUCCACGCCCUAAACGAUGCGAACUGGAUGUUGGGCACACUACGGUGCUCAGUGUCGAAGCUAACGCGUUAAGUUCGCCGCCUGGGGAGUACGGUCGCAAGACUGAA
rnacentral:rRNA from 1 species